rnacentral:rRNA from 1 species
UACGUAGGGUGCAAGCGUUGUCCGGAAUUAUUGGGCGUAAAGAGCUCGUAGGCGGUUUGUCGCGUCGAAUGUGAAAACCCGGGGCUCAACCCCGGGCCUGCAUUCGAUACGGGCAGACUAGAGUUCGGUAGGGGAGUCUGGAAUUCCUGGUGUAGCGAUGAAAUGCGCAGAUAUCAGGAGGAACACCGGUGGCGAAGGCGGGACUCUGGGCCGAUACUGACGCUGAGGAGCGAAAGCGUGGGGAGCAAACAGG